GACGAACGCUGGCGGCGUGCUUAACACAUGCAAGUCGAACGGAAAGGCCCUGCUCUUGUGGGUUUCUCGAUAGGCGAACGGGUGAGUAACACGCGUGUAACCUGCCCUUGACUUUGGGAUAACUUCAGGAAACUCGGGCUCAUACCGGAUAGGAGCUCCUGCUCCACGGUGGUGGUUGGUAAGUUUCGGCGUUUCGGGAUCGUCUCGCGGCUUAUCGGCUUGUUGGUGUGGUAGUGGCUUACCAAGGCUUCGACGGGUAGCCGGCCUUGGAGGCUGACCGGCGACAUUGGGACUGAGAGAGGGCCCAGAAGCCUACGGGCGGCAGUAGGGGGAAGUAUUGCACAAUGAGCGGAAGCCAGAUGCGACGACGCCGCGUGCGGGAUGACGGCCUUCGGGUUGUAAACCGCUUUCGCCUGAGACGAGGCGGGAGUGACGGUAAUGGGUAAAGAAGCACCGGCUAACUACGUG
rnacentral:rRNA from 1 species